rnacentral:rRNA from 1 species
ACCGACCUGCAUAACGCGAAGAACCUUACCAGGUCUUGACAUCCUACGAAUCUUAACGAAAGUUGAGAGUGCCUUCGGGAGCGUAGAGACAGGUGGUGCAUGGUUGUCGUCAGCUCGUGUCGUGAGAUGUUGGGUUAAGUCCCGCAACGAGCGCAACCCUUGCUAUUAGUUGCUAACGGGUAGAGCCGAGCACUCUAAUGGGACUGCCGGUGACAAGCCGGAGGAAGGUGGGGAUGACGUCAAAUCAUCAUGCCCUUUAUGAUCUGGGCCACACACGUAAUACAAUGGCGGUCAACAGAGGGAUGCUAAGCCGUGAGGUGGAGCGAACCCCUAAAAGCCGUCUCAGUUCGGAUUGCAGGCUGCAACUCGCCUGCAUGAAGUCGGAAUCGCUAGUAAUCGCGGAUCAGCAUGCCGCGGUGAAUACGUUCCCGGGUCUUGUACACACCG